UACAGAGGGUGCAAGCGUUGUUCGGAAUUACUGGGCGUAAAGCGCGCGUAGGCGGCUUUGUAAGUUAGAGGUGAAAGCCCGGGGCUCAACCCCGGAACUGCCUUUAAGACUGCAUCGCUUGAAUCCGGGAGAGGUGAGUGGAAUUCCGAGUGUAGAGGUGAAAUUCGUAGAUAUUCGGAAGAACACCAGUGGCGAGGGCGGCUCACUGGACCGGUAUUGACGCUGAGGUGCGAAAGCGUGGGGAGCAAACAGG
rnacentral:rRNA from 1 species